rnacentral:rRNA from 1 species
UACAGAGGGGGCGAGCGUUGUUCGGAUUUACUGGGCGUAAAGGGCGCGUAGGCGGCCUUCUCAGUCGGGUGUGAAAGCCCGGGGCUCAACCCCGGAACGGCACCCGAGACGGGCAGGCUGGAGACCGGGAGAGGAGGGUGGAAUAGCCAGUGUAGAGGUGAAAUUCGUAGAUAUUGGCUGGAACACCGGUGGCGAAAGCGGCUCUCUGGCCCGGUUCUGACGCUGAGGCGCGAAAGCGUGGGGAGCAAACAGG